UGCCUACGGGGGGCAGCAGUGAGGAAUAUUGGUCAAUGGACGGAAGUCUGAACCAGCCAUGCCGCGUGCAGGAAGACGGCUCUAUGAGUUGUAAACUUCUUUUGUACAAGGGCAAACCUGACUACGUGUAUUCAGCUGAAAGUACUGUACGAAUAAGGAUCGGCUAACUCCGUGCCAGCAGCCGCGGUAAUACGGAGGAUCCAAGCGUUAUCCGGAUUUAUUGGGUUUAAAGGGAGCGUAGAUGG
rnacentral:rRNA from 1 species